GCCAAUCUUGGUACCGAUCAUAAACAUCCAUGCCUCCCAACAACACUCUAGUCUGGAACAUCAUGAUCUGCAAAUCCCACAGUUCACUUAGCAUAUCCACACUCUUACAGUGAUUCUCUUAACUAUCACAGAAGUAAUGCCUAAAACCAAAAAAAAAAAAAAAAAAGAAAAAAAAAAUGAGACCAUAUUUGGUGUCACAAUGUCAUCUAGAACCAUUUAAAAAGUAAAAAGACCAAAAUUGUGUAAUCAUAUGUCAUUUAUGGAUGGUUUUGCAAUUGAAGUUGCACCAUACAUAAGUGAUGUUCACAGUGUUUAAUGCACCAGAAAAAACUUGGAAAAGUUUGGACCACCAAGAUGAAUAGGCCCCUUUCUCAGAGAGAGAGAGAGAGAGAGAGAGAGAGAGAGAGAGCGAGCAGAGGCAGAUUCUCGCUAAGCACAGCAGAGCCUGCACAAUCUGCCUCUGCAGGCUGCCACCCUGGAAAGACACCUAGCCAUAAAACAGAACAAAGACUGCAUUGGGUGACCUGGGCAGUGGUGAUGGUGGUGGUCACGAUUAUCUAAUACGACGCAAUUGUAAAUAAUAAAGCACGUUUGUUUUGUUUGUUAUGUGAAAUAUCAGCUUUACGAGAUCAGGGGAAUAUUAUAGAAUAGAAUAUUUUCGAGCCCAUAGAUUUGACAAAUAUUUAUACAAUUGCUUGUUUUUUAGCACAUCAGCCCAUAAAUUCAACAAAUACCAAAAUUUCUCCAUCACACAUCCAUUCUAGAAAAUUCGGUGCAGACUUCUCCGCCAAACUCAAAUGCAACACCUAUAACUUACACCUUUACCCCUCAAUUAGGUGAUAACUAAUAACUGAGAUAUAUCACCUACUUCAUGCAACUUAUUUUCUCCUACCAUCUUAAGAUAGUGACUGACACUACUGAAGUUCAGAACCCAGUUAGCCUCUUACGUCAUCCUUAAUCCUUCUUAGCCCACUUAUUAACAUAUAAUAGAGUACGACUCAAAAUUUGUUAGUACGGACCAUUUAUACAUAACCAUUAUUCUGUCCCAAAACUAUGUAACUCAGUUGUUUCUAGCUGAAAUUCUUUAUCUCAUCUUGCUUAAGAAACUUAGAGAAAGCCAUAAUGCACAAUCUAAAUUCAGGUUAAAUCCACUGUUUGGCGCUAAUCCAACCUGAUAGCUCACUAACUAUGUCCCCUACAAAUGCCUCAAUCCAAUCUAUUGGAUUAGGUUUUUGGGUGAUUGAAACAUAUUUAAAGAUUAUCAGCUGUGACUACGGAAUCAAAACAGCAUAAAAUUCCGCUCCCUACUAUGCCUGCUUUCCAUAAAGAAGCACAAGAUCUCACUAAAAGCUUUCUAAAACAUAACUGUAUCACCGGAACAUGUGAGAUUCCAAAUUGACUUGGACAAAAUAACUAUAUACGCUUAUCUAUUUUCACUCCACUUGGCUAUUUAUUUCCUAAUCAAUUGUUCUUUCAUCAUGGCAUUCUCCUAUACUCUCAAUAAAACCACACAAACUGUAUUAUCAACGCCGAUUUUGAUUUACAAUCGAUUACCGUGAAGCUACAAAGGUGUAGUAACACUUUUUGGAUCCUCUUCGAGUCAUCUUAAUCUCCACAGCAGAGUGAGAUUUUAUCACGAACCUUGCAAAUGAACACACAGCCACAGAGAGCCAGAUAGCUACUACUCCCAGGAACCCCUCUUAUCGAACUAAAGCCUAGUUUAGGAAUGCAUUCUUCAAAUGCACCCGCUUUAAUACUCUAGAGCUCCAAACAACCAAAAAACACGCGAGAGCUCGACUCUUUACAUGCUAUGAAACUUGUGGCGAAAACAUUGACGAAUGCUUCUCCGUUGCAGAUUCCCACCACCACUCCGUACACCAAAUUGGUGAAGUUAACGAGCUUUCCAGUUUUUUCAGAUCUCUAAAGCACAAAAGCGGGUGCAUUUGGAGAACGCGUUCCCAAACCAAUCCAAUUAUAAUCUACUUUUGAUCUAUAAUUUCAAACUCCCAGAACCAGUUUCAUCCAAUGGAAUGAGUUGAAACAGAAAAGCAAGAGAGAUUUUAAGAAACAUGCCUCUUCAAUCCCUCCCGGAGAACGGCGAUACCCUCGCAAAUUACGGCCCCUUCCGCCGGACGGAAGAAGCUCAGAUCCGAGGAAAGGCUCCUCGAGAUCCGACGGCGAAUCCAUCAACGACGAGAUCUCUUCCUGAAUUGUUG
rnacentral:lncRNA from 1 species